rnacentral:rRNA from 1 species
UGAGUUUGAUCCUGGCUCCGAGUGAAUGCUUAAAGCAUACCUGAUACAUGCAAGUCAAAAGAAAUUUUAAAUUAAAAUUUCUUGGCGAAUAGGUGAGUAUUAAGACAAGAAAUUAACCCAUAAGUUUGUAUUAAAAAGAUUUAGAAAUUUUCUAAAAGAAUAUUAUUUUAUUAAUUAAAAUAAGACUUCUGGUGACAUCAAAAAAAAUAUAAAAUUUAAUUAAAUUUUAUAUUUUUUGUAACUAAGAAAAAUAAUAAUAUCAUAUAAUUUUUAAUUUUUUUAAUUUAGUAAAAUCUAAAUAAUUAAAACUUUAAAAAAUUUGUAUUACUUAUGGACAAGCUUGUAUAAGAUUUAGAAUGUUGGUAAGGUAAAAGCUUACCAAAUCGUUUAUCUUUAGCUGCUUGAGAGAGUGGACAGUCACAUUGGAUCUGAAACAGCAUCCAACUACCGAAGUGGUAGCAGCAGUAAGGAAUCUUGACAAUGUGCUAACGCACGAUCCAGUGUUGCUUUAGAGGUGAAGAAGGUCCAAGAGAUUGUAAAAUCGUUGUAAUUAAAAAAACAUAGCGCUGCUAUACUGUUUUGAUUAUAGAAGCUCCGACUAACCUCGUGCCAGCAGUCGCGGUAAUACGAGGGGAGCAAGUGUUAUUCGUACUGAUUGGGCGUAAAGGGUACGUAGGCGGUUAAUUAAGUUUAAAAUUAAAAACUGAAGCUCAACUUCUUUAAAAUUUUUUAAAACUAAUUAACUUUGAGUUAUAAAGAGGAUAGUGGGACUCUUAGUGUAGAGAUAAAAUUCAAUCAUAUUAAGGAUACUAACCUAGCGAAGGCGACUUUCCAUUUAUAACUGACGCUGAGGUACAAAAGUAUGGGGAGCAAAUAGGAUUAGAGACCCUAGUAGUCCAUACCGUGACCGAUGAGUAUUGAAUUUUUAAAAUAAUUUUUAAAAUUAUUUUUUUAUUCAAGCUAACGCGUAAAUACUCCGCCUGGGGACUAAGGCCGCAAGGUUAAAACUCAAAGGAAUUGACGGAGAUCAGACCAAGUAGUGGAACAUGUGGUUUAAUCCGAUAAUCCGCGUAAAACCUUACAAUUCUAGUUUAUAUUUAGAGAUAUAUAAUAUUAUAUUGCUAACUUUUGAUUCAAUUUUAAUUAUUGUUUCAAAUAAAAUAUAAUCAGGUGUUGCAUGGCUGUCGUCAGUCCGUGUCGUGAGAUGUCUGGUUAAAUCCGGUAACGGACGUGACCCUCGGACUAAUUUUUGUUUUAAUUUAGUCGAAAGGUAAUGUAAAAUUACAGGAAGGUGAGGACAACGACAAGUCGUUAUGCCUUUAUGAAUUGGGCUACACAUGUGUUACAAUGGUAAUAACAAUGAGAUGCAAAAACGCAAGUUUUAGCUAAUCUUUAAAAAGAAAUCGUAGUUCGGAUUAUUCUCUGCAACUCGGGAAUAUGAAGAUGGAAUUACUAGUAAUCGUAUAUCAGCACGAUACGGUGAAUUAGGAAACUGAUCUUGUACACACCGCCCGUCACGCCACGGAAGCAGGCUUUCUAUUAAAUAU